rnacentral:rRNA from 1 species
AUUGAACGCUGGCGGCAUGCUUUACACAUGCAAGUCGAACGGUAACAGGCCGCAAGGUGCUGACGAGUGGCGCACGGGUGAGUAAUGCAUCGGAACGUGCCCAGUCGUGGGGGGUAACUACUCGAAAGAGUAGCUAAUACCGCAUACGAUCUAUGGAUGAAAGCGGGGGACCGUAAGGCCUCGCGCGAUUGGAGCGGCCGAUGUCAGAUUAGGUAGUUGGUGGGGUAAAGGCUCACCAAGCCAACGAUCUGUAGCUGGUCUGAGAGGACGACCAGCCACACUGGGACUGAGACACGGCCCAGACUCCUACGGGAGGCAGCAGUGGGGAAUUUUGGACAAUGGGCGCAAGCCUGAUCCAGCAAUGCCGCGUGCAGGAAGAAGGCCUUCGGGUUGUAAACUGCUUUUGUACGGAACGAAACGGCUCUGGUUAAUACCCGGGGCUAAUGACGGUACCGUAAGAAUAAGCACCGGCUAACUACGUG